rnacentral:rRNA from 1 species
UACGGAGGGUGCAAGCGUUAAUCGGAAUUACUGGGCGUAAAGCGUGCGCAGGCGGUUUGUUAAGUCUGUUGUGAAAUCCCCGAGCUCAACUUGGGAAUUGCAAUGGAUACUGGCAGGCUGGAGUAUGGUAGAGGAAGGUGGAAUUCCCGGUGUAGCAGUGAAAUGCGUAGAGAUCGGGAGGAACACCAGUGGCGAAGGCGGCCUUCUGGAGCAAUACUGACGCUCAUGCACGAAAGCGUGGGGAGCAAACCGG